rnacentral:rRNA from 1 species
UACGGAGGAUGCGAGCGUUAUCCGGAUUUAUUGGGUUUAAAGGGUGCGUAGGCGGACUGUCAAGUCAGCGGUAAAAUUGAGAGGCUCAACCUCUUCCCGCCGUUGAAACUGGUGGUCUUGAGUGGAUGAGAAGUACGCGGAAUGCGUGGUGUAGCGGUGAAAUGCAUAGAUAUCACGCAGAACUCCGAUUGCGAAGGCAGCGUACAGGCAUCCAACUGACGCUGAGGCACGAAAGCGUGGGGAUCAAACAGG